rnacentral:rRNA from 1 species
CCUACGGGAGGCAGCAGUGAGGCAUAUUGGUCAAUGGACGAGAGUCUGAACCAGCCAAGUAGCGUGAAGGAUGACUGCCCUAUGGGUUGUCAACUUCUUUUAUAUGGGAAUAAAAUGUUCCACGUGUGGGAUUUUGUAUGUACCAUAUGAAUAAGGAUCGGCUAACUCCGUGCCAGCAGCCGCGGUAAUACGGAGGAGCCGAGCGUUAUCCGGAUUUAUUGGGUUUAAAUGGAGCGUAGGUGGAUUGUUAAGUCAGUUGUGAAAGUUUGCGGCUCAACCGUAAAAUUGCAGUUGAUACUUGCAGUCAUGAGUACAGUAGAGGUGGGCGGAAUUCGGGGUGUAGCGGUGAAAUGCUUAGAUAUCACGAAGAACUCCGAUUGCGAAGGCAGCUCACUGGACUGCAACUGACACUGAGGCUCGAAAGUGUGGGUAUCAAACAGGAUUAGAUACCCGUGUAGUC